UAGAUAAGGGAAGUCGGCAAAAUAGAUCUGUAACUUUGGGAAAAGGAUUGGCUCAUAGGGCAGAGCUUGUUGGGCCCUUGAUAGAUCUUUAGGGACCUGACUAGGACUACUUGUGGGUAAAACUUGAGGCGGACCUGGAUGGGACCUUUUAGUAAUGUCUUGGGUAGCUUUAAUUAACGUUAUUGCAUCUGGCAAGCAUUUAACUGUCAACUAUGAACUGGUACGGACAAGGGGUAUCAGAUGGUUGGGCGGCGGCUGAAGGCACUGGCAGAAGCUA
rnacentral:ncRNA from 1 species